rnacentral:lncRNA from 1 species
CCUCUCUCCCUCUUCUCUUUCUCACGCCCAAGGGUUGAGUACUCAUAUUCCACACGCCAAGAAAAAGAAGAGUCUCUUCUACAGUAAGGAACAAGGAGAAGGAGGCUGCAACUCAAGGGUUGAAGUUGCAGUCGAGAUCAUUUGCUGAUCAAGAUUUAAAGAGGCAUAGAUCUUUCUAAGAGAAGAAGGAUCUACCACAAGAAGAAAGAUUCAAGGUUGAUUUCGAUGGAUACCUGU